UUGGACAAGGGAUAUAAAUUCGUCCACGAAGAGUUUAUCCACCAUUACCAAGAUAUCGCUGGAUGCAUUAAGUGCCAACCUGAAAGCUUUCUCCUGCAGUUGUGUGGCUGCUAAAGGAUUCUGCAAUGACAUCCUUUUGCCAUCCUGUUCCAGAGCGCACAUUAUUCACAGCUGGGUCUGCAGGCUGCUCCACCCACCCUGUCCUGCACGAGUGACUUGCAAAGACGGCACAGACCAAGAGCACAGGGAAUCCAUCCUGAACCGGUUAGUGAGCUGGUGGUGCAAAGGCCCAAAA